ensembl:lncRNA
GUGAACGCCAGUUAGAGAGCCCAUCCUCAGGGCCUGGACCAGGACCAGGACCAGGGCCUGGACCAGGACCAGGACCAGGACCAGGGACCAGGACCAGGACCAGAACCAGAACUCUGACCAGGGACCAGGACCAGGGUCCAGGGACCAGGGACCAGGACCAGGACCAGGGACCAGGACCAGGGAUCAGGACUCUGACCAGGACAAGGGACCAGGAACAGGACCAGGACCAGGACCAGGACUCUGACCAGGGACCAGGACUCUGACCAGGACUCUGACCAGGACCAGGACUCUGACCAGGGACCAGGACUCUGACCAGUGACCAGGACUCUGCCGCGGCUGAAGCACAGCAGGGGUGAGGCUGGGAGGUUGAGGAGGAGGAGGAGUUGUGGGAGGGGGCAGAGGGACACAAUGCUUGCACACCUGGAUGCCUGGCAGUACUCUUGUCUGAUCUGUCCGCACACUGGGGCGGGGCAUAGGGUGGGGGGGGGAAGGUGAGGGUAGGGGGUAUACCCUGGGUUGGGACUGCACUGAGUCACAGUGAGUCAUAGUGAGUCACACUGCACUGAGUCACAGUGCAGUGAGUCACAGUGCAGUGAGUCACCAUGAGUCACAGUGCAGUGAGUUACAGUGAGUUACAGUGAGUCACAGUGAGUCACAGUGAGUCACAGUGCAGCGAGUCACAGUGAGUCACAGUGCAGUGAGUCACAGUGCAGUGAGUCACAGUGAGUCACAUCACAGUGAGUCACAUCACAGUGAGUCACAGUGCAGUGAGUCACAGUGAGUCACAAUGCAGUGAGUCACAGUACAGUGAGGGUCCAGUGAGAAGGGUAGGAAGAUGAUGAAGGAGAAGAGGCUCCUCCCACAACGUCUGUCUUAUAAAGAGUCCUUGUGGCGACUCGUCAUGCGGGUUGUAAAAGCUCGGAGGUCGUCGUCUUCCUAUUUUUUUUGUUAUUUUCAAACACCGUAUAAAACUGUCUCCUUCUAUCGGAACAACCGCACAAACACAACAAGAUACACAAGCAGACCCACACAACCCUGAUUCUCUUUUCUGUUUCAGGACCACUGGAAACAAACAGGCUAUGCCUG